UACGAAGGGGGCUAGCGUUGCUCGGAAUCACUGGGCGUAAAGGGCGCGUAGGCGGCUGAUCAAGUCGAGGGUGAAAGCCCGUGGCUCAACCACGGAAUGGCCUUCGAUACUGGUUGGCUUGAGACCGGAAGAGGACAGCGGAACUGCGAGUGUAGAGGUGAAAUUCGUAGAUAUUCGCAAGAACACCAGUGGCGAAGGCGGCUGUCUGGUCCGGUUCGUGACGCUGAGGCACGAAAGCGUGGGUAGCAAACAGG
rnacentral:rRNA from 1 species